rnacentral:rRNA from 1 species
UACAGAGGGUGCAAGCGUUAAUCGGAACUACUGGGCGUAAAGCGUGCGUAGACGGUUAUGUAAGUCGGGUGUGAAAGCCCCGGGCUCAACCUGGGAAUUGCAUUCGAGACUGUGUAGCUAGGGUACGGAAGAGGGAAGCGGAAUUUCAGGUGUAGCGGUGAAAUGCGUAGAUAUCUGAAGGAACACCAGUGGCGAAAGCGGCUUCCUGGUCCAGUACCGACGUUCAGGCACGAAAGCGUGGGGAGCAAACAGG